GAUGAACGCUAGCGGCAGGCUUAAUACAUGCAAGUCGAGGGACAGCACAGGUAGCAAUACUGGGUGGUAACCGGCAAACGGGUGCGGAACACGUACACAACCUUCCUUUAAGUGGGGGAUAGCCCAGAGAAAUUUGGAUUAAUACCCCGUAAUAUAGUUGAAUGGCAUCAUUUGAUUAUUAUAGCUACGGCGCUUAAUGAUGGGUGUGCGGCUGAUUAGAUAGUUGGCGGGGUAACGGCCCACCAAGUCUACGAUCAGUAGCUGAUGUGAGAGCAGGAUCAGCCACACGGGCACUGGGACACGGGCCCGACUCCUACGGGGGGCAAGAGUAAGGAAUAUUGGUCAAUGGACGCAAGUCUGAACCAGCCAUGCCGCGUGAAGGAUUAAGGUCCUCUGGAUUGUAAGCUUCUUUUAUUUGGGACGAAAAAGGGCCUUUCUAGGUCAACUGACGGUACCAGAUGAAUAAGCACCGGCUAACUCCGUGCCAGCCGCCGCCGUAAGAC
rnacentral:rRNA from 1 species